AGGUAAGAUCAUACCGGUAUUAAUGCACCCGAUUCCAUCAAAACACUAAAGUUAUGUGUGCUUGGGCAAUAAUAGGGCUAUAAUGGGAACCUCCUAGGAAGUCUAAAACCUGGUUUUGUGUA
rnacentral:rRNA from 1 species